UUCAUCUGUGAACGCAUCAAAUAUUUUUACGAAUAACAUUAAUAACAACAGCAGUGGUAUUAGAAACAGUGGGUUAUCAGGUGUACCUGCAACUACAACUACAAAACAAACAAAAACAAAUCGACCAACUAGAAAAAAACCAAUAAAACACUUGCGUUCAUUUCAUUCACCAUUAGUACGUUUUUUUAUCAUGAUUUUAAAUUUUGAUGUUAUAAAAAAAAUGUAUAGACGAUUUAUAUUGGUAUAAAUAUAUUUAUAAAAAGAAAAAAACGACAAAAGUUGGAUAGUGAUAUUGUGGGUGGUGGUAAUGUUAGUGAUAUGGACGAAAGGUUAAACAAAGAAACUAACAUAAAUACAAAUUAUAAUGGCAUAAGCAAUACAACAAAUAUGGAAACAAAUUAUUUCAGUUGCAACGGUAACAACGAUAACAGCGAUAGUAAAUACAAAUGUACGUUAAGUGAAAAACAUUUGAUCAUAACCGAAUUUAUAAAAGAUUUUUAUUCAUUGGAACAUAUUCCAUUAGAUGUGUUGAACAAACGUAAAAAAUUACAAGAGCUGUACGAAUCAGGUGGUAAUAAUAUACGUAUGAAAUUAUUUUAUUAUAAACCAUUUUUAAAAAGUUAUGAUAAUAAUAAGUAUAGUCAUAUUAAUGAAUAUCUAACAGAAAUAAAAUAUUUGGAAAAUAAAUAUUUGUGGUAUAUUAACGAAUCCGAUAAUUUUGUAAGACGAUGUAUAAAAGUUUCUCAUGAUCGUGCAACAAAUACAGAUGUUUCUGUUAAGAUGGAUGUGAAUGAAGGUGAAAUUACGAAUACACAAUAUAAUAAUGAUGUAUAUCUACAUACAGGUGUAAAUAAUACAGCACCAAGUGAUACUAAUAAUAGCAAUAAUGACACAAAUUCAAUAAAAUUCCGAACAACUAUACAAGAUAAAAAAAUUAAAACAAAAUGUAAAAAUACAUUUAUCGAAACUAAGAUAAAUAACAAAACACUUGAAUUUAAUGAGUUUUUAGAAAUAAAUUAUAAAAAAGAAAAAAAAUAUAUUUAUCUACAUCCUUUAUAUAUUGAUUUAUAUAUGAGAGAUGUAUUAAAUUUUUUAAAUUUAUUUAAUCUAAAAUUAAUGAAAUAUAUAUUUUAUAUAAAUAUGGAUGUAUUAACAUUUGUUUACGAAAUAAAAUAUGGUUAUUGGGUAAGAAAUGGAACACGUAUGUUAACCCAAGUGAAUAAUUAUGAAAUAACUCAAUCAUUUUCGAACGAUUUGAUGGGAAUUCAGUUUGCUAUGAUAAUGAUGAAUAUGUUACCUUUGUAUGAAAAUCAAAAAAUUAAACUUGAUUUAGAAACAAAAAAACUUGUUAAAACUUUGUAUAGGAAGUAUAUACUUAUGAAGGCCAAUGACCAGAUAAAUGGUGUUAACGAUUCUGGUAGUACGAACAAUGUCAAUAAUGAAGAAAAUAGUUUUAACAGAGACAUGAACAAAGACAUGAAC
ensembl:lncRNA